rnacentral:lncRNA from 1 species
AUGCACACAAACAUUACAAACACACACUCAUUAUUGCCGUUGCCUCUUCCGUUCUCCGAGUGGAAAAACUUCAUCAGGCUUCUAAAAAAAAGGGGCAAUCUGGGAUUGUUGCAUUUUCAUUAUUUAAAGAAAUUAUUAUUGGCAUAUAUGUGGCUAUAUACAGGGGGUACCGGUACAGAGUCAAUGUGGAGGCUAUAUACAGGGGGUACCGGUACAGAGUCAAUGUGGAGGCUAUAUACAGGGGGUACCGGUACAGAGUCAAUGUGGAGGCUAUAUACAGGGGGUACCGGUACAGAGUCAAUGUGGAGGCUAUAUACAGGGUGUACCGGUACAGAGUCAAUGUGGAGGCUAUAUACAGGGGGUACCAGUACAGAGUCAAUGUGGAGGCUAUAUACAGGGGGUACCGGUACAGAGUCAAUGUGGAGGCUAUAUACAGGGGGUACCGGUACAGAGUCAAUGUGGAGGCUAUAUACAGGGGGUACCGGUACAGAGUCAAUGUGGAGGCUAUAUACAGGGGGUACCGGUACAGAGUCAAUGUGGAGGCUAUAUACAGGGGGUACCGGUACAGAGUCAAUGUGGAGGCUAUAUACAGGGGGUACCGGUACAGAGUCAAUGUGGAGGCUAUAUACAGGGUGUACCGGUACAGAGUCAAUGUGGAGGCUAUAUACAGGGGGUACCGGUACAGAGUCAAUGUGGAGGCUAUAUACAGGGGGUACCGUUACAGAGUCAAUGUGGAGGCUAUAUACAGGGGGUACCGGUACAGAGUCAAUGUGGAGGCUAUAUACAGGGGGUACCGGUACAGAGUCAAUGUGGAGGCUAUAUACAGGGGGUACCGGUACAGAGUCAAUGUGGAGGCUAUAUACAGGGGGUUAUGGUACAGAGUCAAUGUGGAGGCUAUAUACAGGGGGUACCGGUAGAGAGUCAAUGUGGAGGCUAUAUACAGGGGGUACCGGUACAGAGUCAAUGUGGAGGCUAUAUACAGGGGGUACCGGUACAGAGUCAAUGUGGAGGCUAUAUACAGGGGGUACCGGUACAGAGUCAAUGUGGAGGCUAUAUACAGGGGGUACCGGUACAGAGUCAAUGUGGAGGCUAUAUACAGGGGGUACUGGUACAGAGUCAAUGUGGAGGCUAUAUACAGGGGGUACCGGUACAGAGUCAAUGUGGAGGCUAUAUACAGGGGGUACCGGUAGAGAGUCAAUGUGGAGGCUAUAUACAGGGGGUACCGGUAGAGAGUCAAUGUGGAGGCUAUAUACAGGGUAUUACGGUAGAGAGUCAGUGUGGAGGCUAUAUACAGGGGGUACCGGUAGAGAGUCAAUGUGGAGGCUAUAUACAGGGUAUUACGGUACAGAGUCAAUGUGGAGGCUAUAUACAGGGGGUACCGGUAGAGAGUCAAUGUGGAGGAUAUAUACAGGGUAUUACGGUAGAGAGUCAGUGUGGAGGCUAUAUACAGGGGGUACCGGUAGAGAGUCAAUGUGGAGGCUAUAUACAGGGGGUACCGGUACAGAGUCAAUGUGGAGGCUAUAUACAGGGGGUACCGGUACAGAGUCAAUGUGGAGGCUAUAUACAGGGGGUACCGGUACAGAGUCAAUGUGGAGGCUAUAUACAGGGGGUACCGGUACAGAGUCAAUGUGGAGGCUAUAUACAGGGGGUACCGGUACAGAGUCAAUGUGGAGGCUAUAUACAGGGGGUACCGGUACAGAGUCAAUGUGGAGGCUAUAUACAGGGGGGUACCGGUACAGAGUCAAUGUGGAGGCUAUAUACAGGGGGUACCGGUACAGAGUCAAUGUGGAGGCUAUAUACAGGGGGGUACCGGUACAGAGUCAAUGUGGAGGCUAUAUACAGGGUGUACCGGUACAGAGUCAAUGUGGAGGCUAUAUACAGGGGGUACCGGUACAGAGUCAAUGUGGAGGCUAUAUACAGGGGGUACCGGUACAGAGUCAAUGUGGAGGCUAUAUACAGGGGGUAACGAUACAGAGUCAAUGUGGAGGCUAUAUACAGGGGGUAACGAUACAGAGUCAAUGUGGAGGCUAUAUACAGGGGGUAACGAUACAGAGUCAAUGUGGAGGCUAUAUACAGGGGGUACCGGUACAGAGUCAAUGUGGAGGCUAUAUACAGGGGGUACCGGUACAGAGUCAAUGUGGAGGCUAUAUACAGGGGGUACCGGUACAGAGUCAAUGUGGAGGCUAUAUACAGGGGGUACCGGUACAGAGUCAAUGUGGAGGCUAUAUACAGGGGGGUACCGGUACAGAGUCAAUGUGGAGGCUAUAUACAGGGGGUACCGGUACAGAGUCAAUGUGGAGGCUGUAUACAGGGGUUACCGGUACAGAGUCAAUGUGGAGGCUAUAUACUGGGGGUACCGGUACAGAGUCAAUGUGGAGGCUAUAUACAGGGGGCACCGGUACCAAGUCAGUGUGGAGGCUAUAUACAGGGGGCACCGGUACCAAGUCAGUGUGCAGCAGGGGUACAGGCUAG